rnacentral:lncRNA from 1 species
CUUAAACUGUUUCAGCUGCCUGGACAAGACUUAUAUAGUUAUUCAAUAUCAAUAAGAUGACCAUUAGUAUGAAUUUAAGUAUCUUUAUCUUCAUAAAACAACUUUUUUUAUGAUAAACUUUUCUUUUUAAUUAAUUCAAAAUGUCAAGUGUGUUAAAUGUCCUCCUUUACAUCAUAAACCAUGUUGGUGCUCCUACUAAAGGAGAAGAUACAGAACAUACAUACAUGCAGUUGCAUUUUAAUGAGCCAAUGAGUAAUCAUAUCAUAUUCAUGUUUGAUAAAGGGUAGAUAACUUAGUAAGCUAUUAAAAAUAUCACAAUAUCACAAAUAUUACAAAUUUAAAGAUCCUACCUGCUUAUCACGAAAAGAAGUAAGCUUGUAGAAGUAAUACAUUGAAAAACAAGAGUAUACAAUUUAAAAUUGUGUUUAAGGAGGUAGAUCUAUGUAAUGGGAAAUAACUCUUAAAAUCUUCAGCAUGUUUGCGUCAACCAUUUUCAUAAAUAUGUUCUAAGCUUCCAAGUUACAUAGAUUAUUUCCAAUCUGUUUCUGGUCAAAGCUUAAAAUACAAAACUUGACUUUUAUAAAAGCAUAACUGAUUUAAAGAGUAUCUCCCAAAAUUAAGGUCUACCCCCUGAAGGACUACAAAACUGCAGUGAAUUCUGUCAAAUUGGAUGUUGAAGAAAAAAAUAUCUGUGUUUUGAAAACAAUUUAUAUAUCUGUUUUCAUAUAACUGUUUGAUCAUAUAGCCAUACAGUGUUUGCUAUUUAGAAUGGUACAUUAUUAUACAGACAGGUUUCAUUAUAAAAUUAAACAGACAGGUUUCAUUAUAAAAUUAAACAGACAGGUUUCACUGUAAAUCCAGUGGUUGUAUUGUAAAAAAACAAAAAAAUUGCGUUGUGAAUUAAGUAGAUUUUUCUUGACAAAGUGUAUAAUUUAAUCUUAAUAAAACUUAUAUUUAAGUAUAAAAUAUUCUGUGACUUGGUGAAGUCAGUGAUGUAAUUAAACAAGUUUUAUGUCUAAGCAGAAGUUGGUAUCUAGAGAGUAUUUUUCCCUUGUUUAAAGCUAAUUUCCUAAUUCAUGUACAAUAAGACUUUUAUUAGGUUGCUUGCUGUGUUUGUAUACAGUAAAACUGUUGUUGGGAUAAGGAUUAGAUAUAUACAGGUUUAACUAUGAUUGUCUGUAUUGUUUGCAUUACAGUGCUCGAGCAUAUAUUUAUACAAACAAAGCAAGCAAGUCAACCAAAGUCUUAAUCUACAAGCUUAAGGAAAUGAGCUCUAAAAAUAUAUUUUCUGAUCAGAGAUUGACAUAUGUGUGGACCAUGUUGGUUUCACAUGAGUUUUUUUGUAAAUUGGCAGUAAAUAUAGAAACCUAUCUUAAGGAGGUAGACCUAGGUUAAGGGAAAUAACUCUUAAAAUCAUCAGUACGUUUGUGUCAGCCAUUUUCAUAAAUAUGGUCUAAGCUUCUUGGAUACAUAGAUUAUUUCCAAUCUGUUUCAGGUAAAUGCUUAAAAUACAUUGAUGAAACUUGACUUUUACAAACCCAUAACUGAUUUAAAGAGUUAUCUCCCUGAACCAAGGUCUAACAUCUUAAAUAUCAGAGUGAAGUUAAAAAGAAAUUAUCACAAAAAUAUAUAAUUAUCUUUACGAGACCACUUCAGAUUUUAAUACUGUUGCUAAGUUGUUGAAUUUUAUAACUUCAUUGUCCAAAAAUAUAGUUUUUAAGACAUUUUGAUUUUCAUACUGAGUUGCGUUGGAGACAAUUUCA